rnacentral:miRNA from 10 species
UGAAACUUCGCUGGAACAGGCCGG